rnacentral:lncRNA from 1 species
GGUAGAUAGCAAGAAGCUUUCUAUCUCUAGCUUUCCCAUAGAAGGCUUCUUGAAAAGCAGCCUCUAAUGAUCCAAUAAAAUAAACAGGAUGGCAAUCACCGUAUCUUGAAGAAAACUCUGCUGUAAAUUGCAAUAAGGCAUCUCCUUCAUUUUCAGCAUUUUCUGGCAUCAUUGGCGAUUUCCUCAAGGCAGAUGAUGCUACUCCAAACAUUUCUCCAUCAUCAACUCCAAACUCUGUAGCAUCUUCAAAGUCAUCUCCAUCGCUGUCACUAACCAUGUGAACAUCAGUGCAUUGCUCCUCUGACUGUUCCCUUGUUUGUACAGGUGAAGAUCUUCUUCCAACUGUAAGUCGAUGGCAAGGAAAGCUCACUCCUGAUACAGCUAGAGUCAUUGAGUCGUCUGUGGCAGAAGGAGGCCAGCCCUCCCACAGCUGGUGACGGACAGGGAUACUGGUUAGGUCGUACACAUUCCGUUUUACCUCCUGAAUGGUACUGCUUCCUGAGAAGUUGAGGUUGUACUCCCGCUGGACUUCUCGAUGGGUGAUGAUCAGCAUGAAGUUUUGAUUUAAUGACUCCUGCAGGGCUCCAGAAUGACUUGAAGAAGGAGGAGGCAGAUCAGGCGUUAGGACAUAAAGACUAUUAUUUUUUGGCAAGUGUAGAGUUUUUAAAACAGUACUAUCAUCUACAUCUCCAGUCUUCCACCCCUUUAACAGCAUUUUAGACGCAGGAAUCUGAAGUUCAUUUUCUAGAAUAUGUUUGAUAUCUCCAACUGUAGAGCUGUCCUCAAGUACUACAUCCACAUUUCUGUCUCUGUACUCAACCCUGAAGUCAAGCAUUCGAGGCUGUCUUUCCACUAUUUGUCUAGAUGGCACUACAUGGCGAAAUGCUGAGGAAGAUGAAGAAGCUGAAGAAGCUGCUGUAGAAUGACUUGUGGGGCCAUAUGCUGGUCCUUGUAAAGUCUCU